AUUGAACGCUGGCGGCAUGCCUAACACAUGCAAGUCGAGCGGAUGAAUGGAGCUUGCUCCUGCAUUCAUCGGCGGACGGGUGAGUAAUGCCUAGGAAUCUGCCUGGUAGUGGGGGAUAACGUCCGGAAACGGGCGCUAAUACCCCAUACGUCCUGAUGGAGAAAGUGGGGGGUCUUCCGACCUCACGCUAUCAGAUGAGCCUAGAUCGGAUUAGCUAGUUGGUGGGGUAAAGGGCUACCAAGGCGACGAUGCGUAACUGGUCUGAGAGGAUGAUCAGUCAGACGGGAAGUGAGAAACGGCACAGACUCCUAGAGGAAGACACAGUGGAGAAUCUUGGGCGAUGCGCGAAAGCCUGAUACAGCAAUGCCGGGUGAGUGAAGAAGGUCUUAGGAUUGUAAAGCAAUUUAAGUUGGAAGGAAGGGCAGUAAGUUAAUACCUUGCUGUCUUGACGUUACCAACAGAAUAAGCACCGGCUAACUCCGUG
rnacentral:rRNA from 1 species